GUGGCAGUAGUUCGGUGGUAGAUCUCUCGCUUCGUAUGCGGGAAGACCUGGGUUCGAUUCUCGGCUGCUUCC
rnacentral:tRNA from 1 species